CGCCUAUUUUGCCCAGGCGGAGCUCGACCGCCGGUUCAGGCCAUGAUCGCGUUCAUCGACGAUCAUCGUGGGGCAUACGGGGUCGAGCCGAUCUGUCGUGUGCUGAAGAUCGCCCCG
rnacentral:ncRNA from 1 species